UACGUAGGCAGCAAGCGUUGUUCGGAGUUACUGGGCGUAAAGAGUGCGUAGGCGGUCUGGCAAGUUCGGUGUGAAAUCUCCCGGCUUAACUGGGAGGGUGCGCCGAAGACUGUUGGGCUGGAGUAUGGGAGAGGCAGGCGGAAUUCCUGGAGUAGCGGUGAAAUGCGUAGAUAUCAGGAGGAACACCGGUGGUGUAGGCGGCUUGCUGGACCAUAACUGACGCUGAGGCACGAAAGCGUGGGGAGCAAACAGG
rnacentral:rRNA from 1 species